rnacentral:tRNA from 1 species
GCCUGGAUGGCUUAAUAGGUUAAGCAUCUGACUUCUGCUCAGGUCAGAUCUCGCAGUCCAUGAGUUCGAGCCCUAUAUCAGGCU